UACGUAGGGGCCUAGCGUUGUCCGGAAUUAUUGGGCGUAAAGAGCUCGUAGGUGGUUCGGCAAGUCGGAUGUGAAAUCUCCACGCUUAACGUGGAGGGGCCAUUCGAAAACUGCUGUGACUUGAGUCCGGUAGGGGAGUGUGGAAUUCCCGGUGUAGCGGUGAAAUGCGCAGAUAUCGGGAGGAACACCAGUAGCGAAGGCGGCCGCCCUGGUUGGAUACUGACGCUGAGA
rnacentral:rRNA from 1 species